GCGCCGGUGGUGCACGGUACACGCGCCUCGUCUCUUCGCCAGUGUUGCACGGAGAAUGAGGAGGCGAGUCCGGGGUUCGACUCCCCGCCGGCGCA